CUAAAAAGAAACCGACUCUGAAUUUCGCGGAAACCGACUCUGGAUUUCGCCGACCAAGUUUGCUAUAUAUACCCACCCAACCCUCCUCAUAUAUCAUAACUUGCUUUUUAUUUUUUUUGUAAGAUUUUCUAUUCGGUACCGAUUGCUUUCAGAGAUUCAGGUUUUCUUUGUUACGAAUCGGAUAUGAUUUUGUUGAUGAUAUCUUUCAAUUCGUCCAUGAUUGCUUUCAGAGAUUCAGGUUUUCUUUGUUACAAAUCGGAUAUGAUUUUGUUGACUCUAUCUUGUAGAAAAGAGUUUUAAGCUUUCAGAGUUACGUUGAUUUAUGUUUAUACUUAUAAAUUAGGGUUUUGAUUUUUUCAAUACCUGGCGAUUUUUUUGGUUUUCUUUCAAGAAUUUGCAAAGGGAUUUCUGACUUAUAUGGUAUCUUGUAUACGUUUGCGACCAGUGAUCGCUCUGUUUUUAAGCUGUCAAGAGUUACAUGGAUUCAUGUUAAUACUUGCAAAUUAGGGUUUCUUUCAAUACCUUGGCGGUGAUUUUCUAGGUUUUGUUUCAAGAAAUUACAGGAAUUUCAGAAUUAUAUGGAUUUCUCUUGUAUACCUUGGUGAUAGAUCUGGUUUUCUUUGCUUUGAUAGCUCUGGUUUCAAGAAGCUGGUCAUCUUUUUUUGAGAAAUUGCAGAGGGAGACGGUAUUGAUUUAUUGUUUUAUCGUGUAUGACUCUUGUGAUCUCUCUGGUUUUCUAGGGGGUUAACCUAGGUUUCGUUCAAGUAGUGGUCAUUGUUUUUUGGAGAAAUUGCAGAGGGAGACGGUAUUGAUUUAUUGCUUUAUUUUGUAUUCCUCUUGUGGAAGAGAGUUUUCCUUUCAGAACUAUUCUGAGUUCAUGUUAAAAAUUUCAACUACAAGAAAAUUUCUGAGUCCUUGGCAGGGGUUUGAUUUGGCGAUAAGCUUCUUUUUUUUUGUUGUUUUGAAGAAGAAUUAUAGGGAUAGUUUUCUGCUUGUUUUAAUCAAUUCUAAUACUUGGCCUGUGACUGCUUGUAGGCUUUGGUUUUUAAGGGGACUAUAAAUUCUGGUUCACUCAGUAAGGGUUGAAACUUCCAUUGCAUCUCGUCUGGUUCAAUAUUUGGUAACAACCUCUUAUUGGUGUUGGCUUUCUGGGAAAUACGUAUCAUAAUAUUAGAUUGUUGCUGAUUGUGUCAUAGAAAGUGGGUAAGAAGAUAGUGUUCUUAGUCUGAAGUAUUCUGGAUUCAUAUUUAUCAACUGAGGUACAUAUACUUUUUCAGAAGUUGGAGACGUUCGUUUUGUAGUUCUGUGAGGACAAUUUUUUUUAUCAUUUUGAUCUUGAUAUGCGUACAGCAGUCAAAAUUGUUAAUAAUAAUAAAAAAUAAAAAUAAAAUCUUUUUGUUAUUCUAUUGAUUUCACGUUUUUCUUCUUUAAUAAGUCUUUCAAUAUUCUAUAGAUUUUGGUCCUCAGCAGCUAUGUUAAGGUGUUUGCAUCAUAGUUCUUUUGAUAAGAGUUUGAAAGGUUUGCAUCAUAGGUUUCAAUUACCAAGGAGCUAAUUUGUUCUGAAAGAUUUGCGUCAUAGUUCGUAACCUUAGAUUGUCCAACCAAGUCCAUUUUUCAGGCUGAAGUUUUUGCCAUUUUGGACUCAUAUUUGAGCUCUGAAUGACAUGCUUCUGUAUAAGUUGGAUUUUAUUGUUUUAUGUGGACAAUGUUUGAUUGUUUAUCUUGAUCUGUCUACAGGAGUGGAAACUGAUAUGGGAUUUCUUGUCCUUGAGCAGUCGAGUCUGUGUAGAAGUCUUAAAUCUUUCUCAAACUUAAACGGUGUAGACUACAACAAUAAGAAAACUCAUACUGGCUUGAAGUUUACAUUUUGCUUAUAAGUCCUUUAAUAUAGUGUUCCCACUAACUGUGAUAUUAUACUAUUCCUUGUUCAAUUUAUUUAUAGGUUUUGGUCCUCAAUAGCUGUUAUAAGGCAUUUGUUUUGGUGAAGUUGGCUUUCCUCGACUGAUUUGGUUCUUAUCUAUAGGAGCACAAUUACUUAUUGUGGGCUAGCUGGUAAUUAUCAGUUUUAAAAAGUUAGAUUAACAUUGUAUAAAAAAAAAUUUGUGCUUAAAAAAAAGUGGUGCUUCCAUUAUGUGUAUUUUAGGAUCCAUUUGUUCGGCUUUAACUAAUCCCAACAUUACUUGGCAUUUUUGUCCCAGUUCCUUUUUCUAACUGCCAUCUACAUGCACUUAUUACAACUUUUAAGAACCUAAGAUCGUUAAUUUUGUCAUUGGGCAGUCAUAUAAGAUAAGAGCUGCCAGCUUUAAAAAUGGUUGUUUGAAUGCCAGAAAAAUAUAAGAUUUACCUUGUAUGGAAGAGUUCUUCUAUUCAUUAUGCAACUUUUGCAAUUGUAGGUGCAUGUGAAAAAAUCUCAUUGGAAAUUUUUUUUGGUGCUUGGCAGCUUAAGUCUUGUUGUCUUGGUGGCAACUUAAGUGAUGGAGUUUAGUUUGGCGAUAAGAAAUCUUUUCUUUCUUGUUUUCUUUAUUCUCUCCUUCAAUCAUAUGAAUUAUAUGGAUAUUUUCCCUAUUGUUUUCUAAUAAUGGGCAAUAUAUGCUUUUUUUAGGAUUUGGUUUCCUUGAGGAUUAUAAAUUCCAGUCUCAAUCAACUAGGGUUCGAAAGUUCCAUUGAAAUUCUUGUCCUGCUUUCUAGUUUGACUUUAGUCAUUCUAUUUUGGCAAGCUUAUAUCUAAUUCGUAUGUGGUAAUACCUUUUAUCAGUGUGGGUAGUUCCUGUGGUGAUUUGCAUGAGUUGGGCUUUGAAUUUUCAUCAUAGUCAAUAUUGAUUUAUUGUCAUUGGCAGAUUGAUAAGAUAAGAUCUACAUGCCUUAAAAAUAACUGUUCUCUAAAUACAAGGGAAGUUUAGGUCUGUGCUUCCUUAUACCUCCUCUACAGGUUAGUUGGUUGGGUUUCAUAGUGAUGUAGUUUUCUCUUGUAUUGUUGGAUCAUGCUUUUGGGAUAGGAGGGUUUUGAUGAUUUUGUUACCCCUAAAUUAAUCUGUUUAAUAUGUGUAGGUAUGAUAUGUCUACUUGGGAUGGAGUUUGAUGAGGACCUAAGGCAAUAAUGUUUCUGCUUGUGUGUUUUUUAAGUUCGUUGGCCUGCAACUUCAUUUUGUUAUUUGUUGUCUAUUUCAUCAUCGAUGUCAUUUUUGUCAGUCUGCAACUAGAGGUUUAUUAUAUCUUGCUAUUUUUUGGUAGUAAGAAUUCUUGAAUCUUGAUGUAUCUACAGAUGGGGAAGUUGUGAUUUUACAAUCUUGAUGUUUCUACAGCAGGGGAAAUGGUGAUUUAGUUGUGCAACAAAGUGCAUAGAAGUCUUGAAUUUUUAUAUGAGGAUUAUGGCAAUAAUCUCUUUUUAUCAACUUAUCUCAUCAUUCUCUGCCCAACAUGUGAAGAUUAAUGUUUCUGCUUGAAUGUUUCUCUAGUUUGUGCUAAACAAUGGAGUUUCAUCAUGUCCUGCUAUCUAUUGCUAAUUCAAAGACUUUAAUCACGAUGUGUCCACAGGUGGAAAAAUUAUGAUUACUUUUUCAGCAAGAGUGUUAAAAGUCUUUUGAUUAUCAUCCUCUUUUGAUUUCACUUUUUUUUUACCCUUGAACAUGAUCUUGUCCGUUGUUUAAUUUUUUUUAUGGACUUUGUUUCUUUGCAGAUUUUUUAAGGCAUGUAUGUUGGAUCAAUGUCUACUUUUCUAGAUCAAUUUGAUCCUCUUUAUUAGGAGCCCAAAUAUGUAUAUUUUCUCUUCCCUUAUCGUUGUCUGGCACGUUAUUAUUUAUUUAUUGAUAAAUAAUGUAAGAACUUUUUAUUAAGGAAUAGCCAACCAAGUACAGUGGAAAUGUACUGUAGUGGCAGAAAUUAGUAACCCAAAUUACAAUGAUCAAGAAGAACAGGGAGGGACAAAGAAGUUCCUGAAGGUAAAACUUAGCUCCAUUCAAGGAGAAUAUGGAAGAAAAAGGACUAGAAGGUUAUUAUGUGUUUCAAGUAAUUAAAAUUCAAUCUGUAAAUUGUUGACUUUAAUGAACUCUAGCACUGCUCAUCACAAGUGUCCUGGUUCCUUUUUCUAUUGCCAUCAACUUGCACUCAUGACAACUUUAGAACUUUAGAUCAUUUUUUUCUAUUGCCAUCAACUUUGAUCUAUAUUGUGAAAAAUAAAUAAUAAAUUGUGAUUCAUUAUUGGGCAAUCAUUUAGGUUAAAUACUUGCAUUCUUUAAACAUGACUACUUUUUAAAUUCCAGAACAGUACGUGUAUGCUUCCUUGUCUCUUCUGUAUAGGUUUCAAAGUUAUAACUUCUAUGGAUGUGGUUUGUAUAGUUGGACUAUGUGGGGGUGAUAUUUUGGGGCUUAUGGCUUUGUUGCCCUAGUUCUUGUGUUUAAAAAUUUUCAUGUGGUAUAUCUACUUGGGUGGCAAAGUUUGAUGGGGGACCUCAGGUAAUAAGUCUCUUUAUGUCUUGAUUUCAUUAUUUUUUUUUUCUUAAUUUGAAGUUUGAAGUAUUGGAGUAAGAUAUGUAUGAGUUAGAAAAACAAUUUGUUGGAUUGACAUUGGGUUGAGAACAGGCUUUUAUUGCAGCUGUGUUUCAGUUUUUGCUUUUGAUCCAAAUGCUCCCUUAACUACUUGCUUGACCCUUAAAGAGGUUUUUGGUUUUCUGUUUUAUAUAUAUAUAUAUAUAUAUAUAUAUUUAUAUAUUUCUUUGUAAUCUUUAAAAAAAAAGGACUAAUUCUUUUAAUCUACAUUUUUAUUAUUGGAGAUUGGAUGUCUUGCUUGUCUACUUUGUCAGUUUUUUUAAUUUAAAUGGUGAUGCAUUUGUGGUACUUUAGUUAGGUUGAUUUUGUUUGGUUGCUUCUUGAUGAGACAUGCUUUUGUGUAGUCUUGCUCUUUAUGAUAUUUUUAAUUUUUUCCUUUAGAAGUAAAAUCUUAUAAUUUAUAAUUAUCCUAAACUAUGUAGCUGGAAUUCUGUUUUUCAUUUUGCUCAUGUAGGUAAUCUUUCAUGUGGCACUUGUACAUUUGUCUUGUAGUCUUGUUUCUAUUGAUGUUAUUUUGCUUGUAGUGGAACCUGGUUAUGUUGUGCUAGCAAGCUCUAUUUCUAGUUUGGCAAUAAACUCUCUUUUUCUUCCCCUUUGUUUUUCUCUCCUUCAAGCAUUAGAAUUUAAGGAUACAUUUUUUGUUGUUUUAAUUUUGUCUAAUACUUGGGUUUGUGACUGAAUUUCCUAGGUUUCAUUUUCGAGAAGGACUAUAAUUCUGAGUCUUGCGAAGUGAGGGUUUGAAAUUUCUAUUGCAAUUCUUCUUCCUUUCUCUUGCUGUCUGAUUUUAUUUUUGGUCAUUAGUGUUGGCAUCUUCAAUAAUGAAUUCACAGCUUAAUUUGGCAUACUUAUUAUUGCUGUAGUCCACAAUUAUAAUCGUAGUGUGUCUUGAAUGUGGUUUAUGACGGAAAGCUUUUGCUUUCUCUUCUCCUGGCAUUUGUGGGCUUUUUGGGAGUUACAUUGGUAUGCAUUGUAAUUUGUUAACUUGGAUUGUUCCCUUGCAAUUCUUCUUGUUUCUUUGUCUUCUCUUAUUUAAAUUUUGGUCAUUCAAUUUGAAUGUGGUAAUGCCUGUUGAUAUUGAGGAACAUGUAGAUUAACAAAGUUUUUGACCUUAAUAUGGUUGCCAGGGAAAAUAAUACAGCUUUUUUGGUUCAUCCUUUAACAUGAGUUAGGCUUUCUAGGAAUGACUUGGUGCAUGGUUUCUUUUUGAGGCAUUUGUCGAGGGACAGGUAGAUUAAGAACGGUCAAGGUAUGACUUCAUUCCAUUUAUUUAAUAGAUUUGGGUGCGUGGUUUAUUUAUUUUUUUAAAGGUGUUUAUUGCAGCAAGCUUCUGUAGAUCAUUUUUUUUUUUUUGCUACAAUUUUGUAGAUCAAUUUGUUUCUUCUAUUGGAGCAUAAAUAUGUAAAGUUUCCUUUCCCAUAUUGUUGGCUGGCUGGUAAUUAUGGGUCUAAAAUUUAGAACUCUUUUCUUGUUCUCUUGCUUUCACUUUUUGUGCAUACAUCUUUUAAUAUAUUGUUCCCUCAAAAGGAAUACUAGUUCCUUGUUCCUUGUUGCACCAAACUUCUAUAGAGAUCGAUUGAUGCUGAAUGUGGUUUAAUUUGGGGCCAUUUUAUGUUUGCAAGGACAUCGCUUAUUUGAAUGUGGUAAUCUCUUAUUGGUAUGGUGCAGGUAGAUUGAUGCUGAUCCUGUGGUUGCCCAGUAGAAUUCUUCAGGUUAUUGGUUUGUCCUAUGAUUGGCAUGACUUAAGCUUUUUGUGAAUCCAAUUCUUUCAGCUUACACAUUUGGUCUUAGCAUUAUUAUUUGUAAAAAUUCUGUGAAUCAAAUUCUUUUAAUGUGUGAGUGGUACACCAUGCCUUGCUCCAUGGGCUUAUAAGGCAUGCGUGGGGCACUUCUCCAACCGAUGUGAGACAAAGGUGUCAAGCCAAAAUGGCUACAAGGAAAAGCCCUUGGCCUGAGGUGAAAAUCCUGAAUUUUCACACUCGGGGAUGAGGACAAAUCUGUGCAGGCUUGGCUUUCCAAAGCAGACAAUGAGCUGAGUGUGCGUGGGAAAAAACCCCCACACUAUAUAUUUGGUUUUUGCAUCAUUAUUUGUUAAAAUUGUAUGUUGAUUGGUUGAUUUCCUGGUCAUAGAAAUGUUUGAAUAGAUGCCAUCCAUGUCCAACCAAGACUUCCCCCCCCCCCCCCCCCUUUCCUUAAAAAGAAAAAAAAAAAAACUGAAGUUUAAAAUGGGGGGAAAAAAUUAAGCACAUGGCAUAUUAGUUCGAUUGGUGGAAAAAAAAAUUAUUAAAAAUAGUAUAUUUCUAUUAUUACACUUGGGUAGGUUAGAAAUGGUAACAAAUAAAAGGCUUACGAAUAGAAAUCUUCUUAAAAAUACUUUUUUUUUCCUAUAGAUAAUCUCUUGUACAACAUAUUUAAAUUUUCAUUUACUACAGAAGAUUUCUAUUAUUACACAGGUUAGAAAUAGUGACAAAUAAUCUUCACCAAAAAAAAGAAAAGAAAAGAAACAAUUACUAACAUUGGAGAAGAGUCCCUUAAAAAAGUUCGCAAGUUCACUUGAAUUAUUGAUUCUGUAGAUUGAUACAAUGGCUUGUUCAUCUUUACUUUUACUUUUCUUUCCUAAAGAUAACCUCUUGCACAUCAUAUUUUUUUUUACAUCAAAAAAUAAGAACACAUUAAUACAUUUAGUAUAUUUUACGUGAAUUUUAUUUUAAUGUCACAUUGUAUCUUCAAUUUCAUUGUCAUCCUUAAACUUUUUUUGAUAGAGCAUCUUUCCAUUCUUUCUUAAAGGCAAAUUAUGUUGAAUUUUAUAUCAUUAAUAAUUGAGAUGGGUCAUUUUAUAAAUGAUUUUGAAAAUUAAUUUCUUUAAUCUUAUUAGAGAAAUUAAAUUGCUACUUUUCGAGGCGUUUGUUGCAGCAUAUUUGGCAUCUUGUUCAGUUUGCUUGACUCUUUAUUGUUGUUAUCUUUUGCUUUUUUAUUUUUAUAUAUUUUUUUAAGGACACAUUUCACAUUUCGAUUUGUAUUCUUUUAAUUUGAGACUGGAUUGUGUGUAUUAUCAGUCUGCAUUAUUUGGAUUUAUCUAUUUGUAUGGGUUUGAUGUAAUGGGGUUCACUUGUAGCCUUUUAAUUAAGGCUAAUUUGAUUUUUUCUCUUUUCAAUCAUAAAUAUGAUGUGUUACAAGGAUUUAUCUUUAUAUUUGUUGGAUUCUACUGAAAUAUGGUAGUUCUAGUUCUUUUUAUUUGUUCUGUCAUUCUUAGGGCAUGUUAAAAAUCUAUUCCUUAUAAGUCUACAAAAAUUGGCGUCUUCUUUUUGGGUCCUUCGUAGAAGUGGCUGAGUUUGAUAUAGUGAUAAGCUCUCUUUCCUCAUUGUUCUCUCCUGCAAUCAUAAGAACUAUACAAUUUUGGGCUUUUUAAAUUUUUUAUAAUACUUGGGCUGCUUUUCUUAGGCUUUGGGUUUCUGGACAGCCAUAAAUUCAACAUACCACCUGGGUAAAUUAACGAAGUAACCAUCAUUACGAGAGAAUAAUAAUACAGGUUUUUGCUUUUAUCCUGUUAUGAUUUUCAUGAGUUGGGCUUUCUUGGAACAACAUGGAUCGAACUUAUGUCUCUAGAAUUGCAUCAUGGUUUGAGCACUGAUUGACUUUUUUCUUUAUAAGCUGUUGAUGUCCAUUUUGUUGUUUUGUUUGUACAAUGUUGAUUAUUUUAAUCUUGAUCUGUCUAUAGCAGGGGAAACUCUUCUGCAACAAGUAUUUACAAAACUGUGUUGAUGACACUAGGUACUUACAAAACCAAAAGAUACAUAAAAAAGGCCAUCAUCCAGUGUUGGUCUGGCCAAAGUAGGAUUUUGGAAUGUGAGAUUUGGGUAUGGUCCUAACCUUCAGGAUAUUGCCUGAACAAUCUAAAUCUUGCAUGACUUGACAGCUUGAGACUUUUACAUAGGAAAGCUAAAAAUGUAAAGAAUCAUUGACUCUUAGAUCAUGGAGAUUGAGUUCCAUUAAAAAGCAAUCACACAGUCCAUUUUUUUUUUUUUUUUUAAACUUUUUGAAAAAGGACAGUCACAAUGGGGAGCAUUGCAGAGAUAUUGUGGGGAAAUACAAUUCGAUGACAAUAAUUUUGAAAGAAGUACGUAAAAGGUUACUAAAAGUUUAGCAUAAAUUCUGGUAUAAACAUAUAUAUGGGUCAAUGAAUGUCAUACUUAUGCUUUCUUAUUUGUCUGUGUUGGUCCCCUUUUUUUCCUUCUAUUUUUGCAGGAGUGCCCCUUGUCUUGGAGUUCUCUUCUGUCCAGCACUAAGUCUCUUUUAUUGUGUUAGAGGAAUCUGUUAAUGUUGGGAUAAAAUGGAGCAUGAACCCAAAAGCUCUCCCAAGGCUUGGUCAUAGUUUUUGGGAUAUACUAGUUGCUUUUCUUUCCAGACUUGCAAAAGCAAUAUCAAGAUUUUCAAUGGUCUUAUUUGUACUUUUGUCAAUGUUGUUUCCAAACCAUAUAUUUCUUAUCAUUCUUUUAUAUUAUUUUACUUUGUGUGUGCACCCUUUUUUUGUUUUAUUUCCCAACUGGCUUCUCCAUCUUUCUGCAAUUCCCAGUUCCGGUUGGCACCUAUUCUUCUCAUUCUGGUGAUGGAAUCUGAUAACUUAAUAGAGCAUGACCAUCUCCUACCUUAACACCUCCUUUUGGAUGCUGAAGGUACUAUGGCCUUGUUUGGCACUUGUGUUUUCUUCCCAUAGUGAGGGUCUAUGUUUUUCUUUUGUUUCUUUAUUAUUAUUUUUUUUUAUGGUGUUUUAUAAUUUUUUUUCUUUUGGUGGGCAUCUCCAGAUUGUGGGGAUAUCCAAUUUGGAGUCUCAUGGAAAGUGAUGCCAUUAUGUUGUUGGAUUUAUCUCACUUAAGUGCCAUGUGUACUAUCAAAUUGCCUUAUAAAGACAAGCGUUAUCCACAAAUUGUGUAAAUUUGAUUGAAGUGGAGAGAACUAAUAAUAUAUCAGUUCCCGUGGAUAAAUUUCUUGCUUUGGUUUACAAUUUGUGCUCCUUUGCAUUGAAUGAGUGGUGCACUUAUUCAGUUACCCUAUCAGUCCGAUAACGGAUUAAUUUGGUGUUCCGUUUGCUUUUUUCAGAGGCCUUUUAGGUUCCACUAUAUUGACUGAUAAUGUUUUUGGUCAUUAGAUCCUUAAGAGUUGUAUUGUGUUCAUGUGAAACUUUUUUUUUUUUUUUGCCUGAAUUCUUUUUAUCUGUUUUAUUUUUAUCUGUUUUAUGCAACGGCGUUGGUGUUCCUUCUUUCAUGCUUGCUUUAAUAUUUUAUUUUUUUAAUUCAGUAUAUGACUAUAUGUAGUUAUGCUAAAAUUUUAUGUCAAAGUUUUGCUAUAUUGAAAAAUUGAGAAUUCCUUGGAAAGUAUUUGUCUACAUCUCAAAACUGUGUGUAGUCACAAAAAAUGUCUACUCCUUAAAUUUUGGCACCAGGAAUGAAUAUCCUGGUUUUUGUUUAUUUUUGUAGAAUUCUUAAAUUGAGGCUUCUUUCUUUGGCUAAGCAUGAUGUAAUAGUAGUUAUGUUCAAAUUCUUGGUGUCAUGUACUUCAUUGGUUAUUUUUGAUUCUUGCAAUCUGUUUUUAUGAAUGUAGCACUUUAUCUUUCAUUGAUUCCCAGGUCCACUGAAGGUACAAUUUUGUGGUUAGUCUUUUGAAAGAUGGUUUUGGGGAAGUGAGAUUAGGUCUUGCAUAGUGGUGCUUUGGUUAGUUUUAGUAUUUAGCAAGAGACUUUUCCUUGCCCAUUUAUGUGGUAUAGUAUCUUUUGUUAGUGUUCUUUCUAUUGUCUUUUAACCUCAUAUGUGGUUAUGCUUUCUGAGGCACCAUUAUGUGCCAUGUUCUAUAAAUUCUGUGAUUUUAUUGUCUUAUUUUUUCUUUCAUUAUACAAAAUGGAUCAUCUUUUAUCUUGUAGAGACACAGCUCAGAAGUUCUAUUGGGACCUUGUCCGUAUUAGCUACCUUACUCUAUCUUCCAUACAUUAGUUCACAUCCCGGUGCUCUUUUGGGCUUAAAAUAGUAUUAAUUUUAUAUCUUCAUUUGUUUGAAUUUGUUCUUUGGAUCUGUUUCGUCUACUUUUGUAGGUGUUUCAAGCAGUGUUUUUAGAGCAGGUUUUGCAAGUUCUUAUCCAGGGUGCUUGGCAAGGUUGUAGAAAGUCAGUUCCUUUUUUGAUUCCCAAGUACUUGCAUUUUAUCAUAUCCUUAGUUAACUUAAGAUCAUCAGUUUCGUCUUUUUGCACUAUAACCAUAUGCUUUUUGGAGCUCAUCACUGGGCAAUCACAUAUGUAUGAGUUGCAUUCUUUAAACAUUACUGCUCUAAUUGUCAGGAAAGGAAGGUAUUGGUCUUGUUGAGAAUAGUUCUUCUGUCUUUUUUUUUGGCAACUGCUGCAAUUUGGAGUGUAUGUUAAAAUCUCAACACUAACAUGUGUACAGGAAGCAGAUUUUUUUUUUUUUUGGGUACUUGGUUGCUGAAGUGACCGAAUUUGAACAUUCGGUGAUGGUUUGAACUUUCAUUGUAUUCUUUUCCCUUUGUACUGCAAUCUUGUUUAAUUUUUGGUUAUUCUGUCUUGGAAAAGUAAUCUCUAGUUCAAAUUCAGUAAUGCCUAUUAUUGGAAUACAGGUAGAUUGAUGGUGGUGAUCGUGACCCAACUAUGGUUGCUGGGUUAGAAUAGUAUCGAUUAUGCUUUGCACUAUUGGGCUUUCUAGGAAUUAAAUGACUAACUUGUGUCUUUGGAUUUGAAUCAUAAUUCGAAAAUUAGCAUGUUAUUGAUUUAUUUACUAAUCAUAGGAUGUGAUUGAGCAGAUGCCAUCCAUCUCCAAGCAUGACUUCUUUAAGAGCUGGUGAUGUUUGUUUUGUAGUUUUAUGACAAGUACAUUCCUAGUUCCCACACAAUUCUUUGUUUCAUUUUUGCAAGCUCCUUUAUUAUUUGAAUGUCAUUAUUCUUUUUUUUUGUGUGGGGCAGGUAGAUUUACGCCAAUACUGUUGUUUCCAAGGAAGAAUUAUUCAGGUUAUUGGUUUGUCUUGUAAUUGGCAUUGGCUGGGCUUCUGGUGAAUUAAAUGCUUUUAAUUUGUGUCUUUGAAUUUUGCAUCAUUAUUCAUAAAAUUUGUAUAUGUUGCUGAUUGAUUUCCAAGUUAGAGAAAAUGAGUGAGCAGAUGCCAUCAAAACUUCUAUCAAUGUGGUUUGUACAGGUGGACUGUGUGGGGGGAUAUUUUGGGGUUUAUGGCUCCGUUACCCCAAUUCUUGUGUUUAAAUUUUUUUUUGCUGUAUAUUAACUUGGGUGACAAAGUUUGAUGGUGGACCUUAGGCAAUAAUCUCUCUUUAUAUCUUGAUUUCAUUAUUUUCUUUUCCUGUAAUUUGAAGUUUUAAGUAUUGGUGUUAGUUACGACAUAUGAGUUAGAAAAUAAAUUUGUUGGAUUGAAAUUGGGUUGAGAACAGGCUUCUAUUGCUUCUGUGUUUUAGUUUUUGUUUUUGAUCCUAAUACUCCUUAACUACUUGCUUGACCCUUCAAAGGUUCUUUGUUUUUUGUUAUAUAUAUUCUUUUCUUUCUUUGUAAUAUAAUAAUCCACAUUUUUAUUACUGGAGUUGGAUGGCUUCCCAGUCUCUGUUGUCAGGUUUUAUUUAAUUUAAGUGGUGUUGCAUUUGCGUUAGUUUUGCUAGGGUUGAUUUUGUUUUGUUGCUUCUCGAUGAAACAUGCCUUUGAGUAGUCUUGCUCUUUAUUAUUAUUUUUAUUUUUUAUUCUUUCUUAAAAAAAAAAAAAAUAUCUUAUAAUUUAAAGUUGUCCUAAACCAUGUAGCUGGAAUUGUGUGUUUCAGUUUGCUCAUGUAGGAGGUCAAUGCCUGCACCACGAAGGGUUUGAGCUUCCAUGUAGUAACUGUACGUUUGUCUUCUUGUCUUGUUGCUCUUGAUGUUUUCUUGCUUCUAGUGGAACCUGGUUAUAUUUUUUUAGCAGUUCUAUUUCUAGUUUGGAUUGUCACAUUGUCUGUAUGUAGGAAGCGAGAUAUUUGUUUUCUGGUGCUUCACAGCUUAAGCAGCUGAGUUUGAUUUGGCAAUAAACUCUCUUUUUCUUCCCUUUUUUUUCCUUUCCUUCAAGCAUACGAAUUUUAAGAAUACAUUUUAAAAAAAAAAAUUCUAUCUAAUACUUGGGUUUGUGACUGAAUUUCCUAGGUUUCAUUUUCGAGAAGGAUUGUAAUUCCCAGUCUAGCGAAGUGAGGGUUUGAAAUUUCUAUUGCAAUUCUUCCCCCUUUAUCUUGCUGUCUUAUUGUAUUUUUGGUCAUUAUGUGUUGGCAACCUCAAUAGUGAAUUCACAGCUUAAUCUGGCAAUGCCUCUUAUUUGUGUAGGCCAGAAUUAUAAUCUUAGUGUGACCUGAAUAUUGAAACUUGGGCUGUGUUGACUGCAACAUUAGAAAAAUCUUUUCUUUUCUUUUUUUUCCUUAAAUUUCACAUUUUGCUUAUAAGUCUUUUAAUAUGGUGUUUCAACUAAUGUGAUACUACGCUAUUCCUUGUUUGAUUUACUUAUAGGUUUUGGUCCUUGACAACUCUGUGAAGGCAUUCAUUUCUGUGAAGUUGGCUUUUCUUGAUCGAUUUGGUUCUUUUAUAUAGGAGCACAAUCCCUUAUUGUUGGCUGGCUGGUAACGAUGGGUUUAAAAAUUAAAUUAACAUCGUAAACGAAAAUUGGUGCUUGAAUUGUGUGUUUUUCCGGCUUCAUUUGUUUGGUUUUAACUUAUCCCAGCACUACUUGGCAUUUUUGUCGGGGUUCCUUUUUUUACUGCUGUCUACUUGCACUUCUUACUACUUGUAAAGAACCUAAGGUCAUCAAUAUCAUCAUCGGGCAUUCAUAUAAGAUAAAAUCAGCCAGCAUCAAACAUGGUUGUUUUGAAUGACAAAAAAGUAGAAGAUUUACCUUGUAAGGAAGAGUUCUUCUAGUCAUUUUUGCAAAUAUUGCAAUUCCUGGUGCAUUUGAAAAAUUCUCACUGGAUUUACUUUGUAAAAGAAAAUUGGUGCUUGCAUUGUAUGUAUUUCAGGCUUUAUUUGUGUGGUUUUAACUAACUUAAUACUUUCUUUUCUUCUAUUGUUAGCUGGUUGGUUAUGUGUAUAAAAUAUUAAAAUUCCCCAUUGAAAUGCCAAUUUGUGGAUUGUGUUUAUUUCAGGCUGCAUUUUUCCGGUUUCAACCAACUCCAGCUGUGUCCAACAUGUUUGUCAUGCUUCCAUUUUCUAUUGUCAUCAACUUUACUUAUCACAACUUUUCAGAACUUAAAAUCAUCAGUUUGUUAAAUUACAACCUAUGUAAUUUUGAGCUUGUUCAGUAUUGUGAUUUAUUUUCAUUUAGAAUUUAUUGGUGCUUUUCUUCUUAUUAUAACUUAAAAAAGCUUUUUUUUUUUUUUUUUUAUAAGUACCUUAAGAGGCUUAUAUUGACUAUAGUUAUUUAUCACUUAACCUUUUCCCUUUGUAUUUUAGAUCAACAAUAAUUUCCUCUUUAGCUUCUCAAAAAAGGGAGUAAUUUCCUCUUUACUAGUUGCUUGACUCUGUAUCCUAUUUAUCUUUUGCUCCUUUUUCACUUGAUCUCAUAAUUUGCUUAUGAGUCCUUUUAAUAUACCAUUUCCUCGAACUUGCUCCUGUUACUUGUUUGACUUAUGUUUUAGGUAUUGGUCCUUGGGAACUUUUUCCAAAUGUGUGUUGCUGCAAAGUCGGUUUUUCUAAUUCAAUUUUGUUCUCUCGAGCACAAAUAUGUAAAUUUUUAUUUCCCUUUAUUGUUGGUUGGCUUGGUAAUUAUGGCACUAAAAAAAUAAAGUAUUUUUAUGAAAGAAACAGGGUGCUUGGAUUGUGUUUCUUUCGGGCUGCGGUUGAGUGGUUUUAAACUAAUUACAGAAAUUCUUGGCAUGUGAACCUGUUCCCUUUCUCUACUGCCUUUUGCUUGCAUGUAUCGCAACUUUUUAGGACUUGAAAUCAUCAAUCUGGUCAUUCCGGAUUGCAAUCUCUAUUCUCUUUUGAUUCAUUAUUCUAAUCCUUACUGCUUACAAUUGAGGUUUAUUGUUUCUGCUUGUAUUUUUUUUUUUUAAGUUCAUCAGCCUGCAUUUCUUGGCAUUGGUUUCUGAAAGGAGUAGAUAGAUUUAAAUUUUCUUCUUCAUUUGAGUGGUGGAGGUUUAAGUUAGAUUAAGAUAUUUUUGAAUUCCUAUUCAAUGGGUGACUUGGGAUUUUGAUCAUGCUUCUUUUGGUAUUGGACAGGUAGAUUCCUCUUAUUGUUGUGGGGCAGGUUGAUCGAUGCCAAUGCAUUCGUUGCCAAGGGAGAAUUAUAUAGGUUAUUGGUUUGUUGUGUAAUUGGCAUUUGUUGGGUUUUUCUAUGAAUUAAAUGCUUUUAACUGUCUUUGAAUUUUGCAUCAUUAUUCAUAUAAUUUAUAUAUGCUGCUGAUUGAUUUCCAAGUCAGAGAAAAUGAGUGAGCAGAUGCCAUCAAGACUUCUUUAUAAGUUGGUGUUGUUUGUUUUGUGGUUUUGUGACAAGUACUUUCCUAGCUCCUACAUUUGUUUUGAAUGUUGAAACAAAAAUGUUUAAUUAUUUAAACUUGAUAUGUAUGCUGGAGGGGAAAUUGUGAUUUGGGCUUUCUUGUACUUGAGCAACAGAGUUUUUGUAAAAGUCUUGCUUAAAAAAUGGUGCUUGAGCUGUGUGAUUGAAUGCAACAAUUGAAAAUUCCUUUUAUUCUUUCAUCUUCGUUCUUCUCUUAUAAAUCUUUUGAUAUACUCUUCCUCGAAUGUGUUUACUAUUCCUGGUUGUUCAAUUUGUUUUGUAGAUUUCGGUGCUUGGCUACUUUUCAAGGCAUUUGUUGCAGCAAAUUUGGCAUCUAGUAGCCAGAUGCAUCCCAUGUUGAACCAAGUUUGUUAUCAGUCUGAAGAUUUCACAACUAUAUACUGCAGCAACAAAUUUUGUGUAACAUCUUAUGUCUUUAUCGUUCCUUUUCACCUUCUAUUAUUUGAAGUUUUUCCCUUGAAUAUGAUCCUGUUCCAUUUUAAUUUAUUUUAGUGAUUUUGGUACUUGGCAGUUUUUAAGGCAUUUGUUGCUGCAAAGUUGGUUUUAUAGAUUGAUCUGGUUUGUCUUCUCUAGUGGCACAAAGAAGUAAAUUUUCCUUUCUCUUAUUGUUGGGUGCUUGAUUCUUGUAUUGUGUGUAUUUCAGUCUGCAUUUCUGUAGUCUUAACUGAUUCCAGCACUGCUCAACAUGUUUGUUACUGCCAUCUACUUGAACUUAUUACAACUUUUUAGAAUUUAAGAUAAUUGAUUAUUUCAUUAUUCAUUAAAACCUCUUAUGGUUUUUGGAGCUUUGGUCGAUAUGGUGAUUUAUUGUCUUUGGGUAGUCGUGUAAGAUAGUUGUAGCUUGCUUUAAACAUGUCGGCUAUUUAAAUUCCUUUUAAGGUAUAGGUUUAUGCUUCCUUAUGAGUUGGGCUUUUUGGUAAUUAUAUGGAAAACUUGCGUCAUAAUUUGUAAUCUUAGGUUAUUGUCGAUUGAUUUCCUCAUCAUAGAAAGUGAGUGGGCUGAUCCUGUGAAUAUUGAACCAAGUUGUUAGUCUUCAGUCUUUGUUAUUCUGGACUAUUAUUUGAGCACUGAGUAACACAUGCGUCUUUAUAAGCUGGUGGUGCUCUCUUUGUGGUUUUUUGAAUACAAUGUUGAUAAUUUAAUUUUGAUUGCUUACAGGAGGUGAAAGUGAUUUUGACUUUCUUGUAUUUAUCUUGUAGAGAUGAGUUCUUCCUCUUUUUUUGUCUACAGGAAGCAAAUUUUUUUUGGACUUAAUGGCGGAAGUUUGAUUCUGCAAUAAGAUCUCUUUUCCUCUUGUUAGUGUCAGCCUGUGACAGUGUGAAACUUCCAGUGCAAUUCUUUUCCCUUUGUACAACAGUCUUGUUUAGUUUUGAUCAUUCUAUGUGGGACAACUCAUCUAUUAUUCAAAUGUGGAAACUCAUCUCUUACUUGUAUGGGAAAGGUUGAUUGAUGGUGAUAGUGACCCAAAUUUGGUUGUGGAGGUAGAAUAAUACAUGUUUUUGCUUUGUCCUGUGAUUGGCAGUGUUUGGCACUUUGGCUUUAUGUGAAUUAAACGGUUUUAAUUUGAGUCAUGGUAUUUGCAUCAUAAUUCAUAACAUUAGCACUGGUUCCCUUUUUAACUACCAUGCACUUAUCACAACUUUUUAGAACUUGAGAUUUCAAUCGUGAAUUUGGUCAUUUGCUCUACCUCUUAUGAGUUUUGGAGUUUUGGUCGGUAUGGUGAUUCUGUCAAGGGCUUGAAAUAGUCAGAACUUGAUUGGAGAUCAUUUGCUUGUAGUGGGUUGAUCCCAGAAGCAGUUAAGUCGAUUGCAGUGACAUUGUGACCAGAGGAUUUUAGCAGUGUCACAAGCUUGUACCAGGUCCAAGCUUGAAGGCAUGAACCAUGAAUUAGCACCAAGUGUUUGCCAGUUCUUGGUGGCUCCUUACUAGCCUCAAUUCCAAGAGAUGAAAGAAUGAUACAGAAAGAAAUUAACAUGAAAUGCUUCUUACUCAGCUUCCUAAGGAGUAAGGACACAAAUUUUUUAUGGGUUUUAUGAAGUUAUAGAGGUAGAACUAUGCAAUUUGACGUUUGACCAUAUAAUUUUGUUUCUCUUUGUUUGAAUUUGACUUUUGAGACCUCUAAUAAGGCUUUUUGAAAAUCUUGUCACAAAGUACACCAAGGUGAGCACUUGUCAAACAGGUUAGCAAGCACAAAUGAUUAAAUAUUUUUAAUUUCUUUGUGCAGUUCUCCAGUACACAAAUUAUCAUCAAUGUAUAAAGGGUAGGUUUUGACAAUGAUCAUUCUAAUGGGCUCCUCUAGCAAAGAGAGAAAGAAAGAAAGAAAUUAAAAAAAAAAAAAAAAAAAAAAAAAAAAAAAAAAAAAAAAAAACAUUCUAAUAGUCUCACGUUUUCUCAAUAACAUAAAAUAUCAUGCAAGUUAAAACUUUUGACUCUUAGAAAAGAUUUUAAAAGUCAUAGCAAGCAAGUGCGGCUUCUUGAAUAUGUUUAUUUUUUGAAUUGGUAGAUGACAACAUUUUGUAACUUUUAAUGACAUUUUCAGGUUUAAAACCACCCCUCCUUCACUUAUAUAUAUAAAAAGAAAGAUAUUGGGCAUACUAUAAUCUGUAUUCAAUGUCAUGUUUGUUUGUAAGAUUACAUUUUUUUUCUCUUAUUAUAUCUCAUAUUUGGAAUUGAGUUUGAUGCUAAAAGAAAAUAUAUUAUUUCUAUUAAUAAAACUUGUGGAGAACAAGAAUCUAGCUAAAUAAUUAUUUUUGUAUUAUAUAUGCCAUUCAAAAAUGUUAGACUAUAGUUUCAAUGAAUUUACCAUGAUUUAUAAUUUAUAUUUUGUUUCUCAUUAUUUUUUGGAGGAAAAAAAUGACUUGAUAUUGUAUUUAUAAAUGUAACGAUAAUUUGAGAAAAAUAAAUAAUUACUAUAAGAUUCUUAAGAAUAAAAAUAAACCAAACAUAGCAAUUUCAUAUUCCUGUGAAUCUUAUUAAAUUCCUAUUAGGGGCUGUUCUUCGCAGUUGGUCACGUGUUAUCCAUUGGAGGAGUGACCUUGCUAGACCCAAAUAUGUUUGGGAGUUGUGUCCGUAACUCGACAUUGAACCACGUAAUCCAAUGACUUCCGACGUAUUUUUAGGCCUAUAAAAUGGGUAAAGUCCGAAGUCUAAGAAUCAUGAUAAUGGUUGAAUAAAUAAAUAAUAUGUGUUUGAUAUAAUAACUUUGAUUAAUAGUUGUAAUAGUAGUUGAAAUAAAGUAAUAUUUAUUUAAAUUUGAAGUAAUCAUGUAUUCAAUAAUGUAGAGUUAGAAAUAUGGAAACGUAGUGACUUAUCUUUGUAUGGUUUGCAGCUCCAACUGUAUAGCAUCAGUGAGUUGAUAGUAUUCUAUAUUCUAGUAGAAUGACUCUAGUGGUGAAGAGGCGGUAUGCCACGAUAAGAUGACUUCAAGAUUGAAGUAGAAAAAUGGAUGCAACUAGAAGGAGAAAGAGUAUAUCCAACUGUGUGUAGAGGCUGGUUAAGUUUGUCCCCUUAGUAAUGCUCUUUUAGUUAUUGUGAAGUUAUGAAUAAUAUUGCCUUCCAUGGAAAGGACUUUUGUAAGGUAGGUUAUAAGCUAGUCAUAAAUAGUAAAUACACAUGAAUGGAACACGAUUUUCAUUAAUAAGCUAGUCAUAAGGUAGGUUAUCAGCAGAGAUUGAUUUGA